UUGAAAGGGAAACGAUUGAAGUCAGUCGUACCGACGAGAAAUCAACUUAUCGUGUGCGAACUUGUGGGCGUGCGUGAGUUUCGGCCUCGCUGUUUGCAUGUUUGUGCGUUUUGGGUGUACUUUUUCGUAUGGUAGGCCAACGUCAGUUUCGAUUAUCAUAAAAUGACCGGCGGAAUGUAGCUUCGAUUUCGGUUGAAGUGUUAUAGCCUCUGGUAGAUGUGGUGAUUGAGACUGAGGAUUGCAACGAAUACCCUUUGGGCUAUCCGUCUGGCCUCUGAAAGUUGCUCAGGUGCCGAAAGCGUGCUUACGGCUAUCUAAGAUAACGUUCAACAGGUUAGAACGUGAUUACAUUCGUUAAGGAUGUUGACGUA
rnacentral:rRNA from 1 species